rnacentral:rRNA from 1 species
AUGGCCCACGAUGAGGGUGAUGUUGAAGGUACUCAAACCCAUAUACCAUCCUCUAGUACUCAAAUAAAUGAUGAACCGAUUGCCUUACGAAAGGAAAAAAGAAAAGUAGAUAUACCUGCGCGUCUGAAGGAUUGUGUUGGAUAUAAACAUGAUCUUGCAAAAUUUGUUUCCUAUGAUAGAUGUACUUCCUCUUUUAGGAGCUUUAUUGCAUCCUUGGAUUCUACAUCAGUACCUAAAGAUUGGAAGGAUGCAAUGAAUGAUCCUAAAUGGAAGGCAGCAAUGUUGGAGGAAAUGUAUGCUCUAGAAAAGAAUAAUACAUGA